CCUACGGGCGACAGCAGUGAGGAAUAUUGGUCAAUGGACGAGAGUCUGAACCAGCCAAGUAGCGUGAAGGAUGACUGCCCUAUGGGUUGUAAACUUCUUUUAUAUGGGAAUAAAAUGUUCCACGUGUGGGAUUUUGUAUGUACCAUAUGAAUAAGGAUCGGCUAACUCCGUGCCAGCAGCCGCGGUAAUACGGAGGAUCUGAGCGUUAUCCGGAUUUAUUGGGUUUAAAGGGAGCGUAGGUGGAUUGUUAAGUCAGUUGUGAAAGUUUGCGGCUCAACCGUAAAAUUGCAGUUGAAACUGGCAGUCUUGAGUACAGUAGAGGUGGGCGGAAUUCGUGGUGUAGCGGUGAAAUGCUUAGAUAUCACGAAGAACUCCGAUUGCGAAGGCAGUUCACUGGACUGCAACUGACACUGAGGCUCGAAAGUGUGGGUAUCAAACAGGAUUAGAUACCCCAGUAGUC
rnacentral:rRNA from 1 species